GGGUUAACCUACAAUGUCGCCGAAAAUGGAGAGGAGAGUGCUCUCAGAUCUGGUGGGUAAACGAAAAAUCUUUCGAAUUCGUAAAGUUCUGAAGAUCCCUAAGAUCAUUACUAUCCUAAGAUAGUAACAGUGGAGAAAAACCCUUUUUCUGCUGUUGCUGCAUUAUCUUCGGUAUUGGCCUCCUAUACUGUCCCCGCCGAAAGGUUGGAGAUGGAAGCAAAGGCUCAUCUCAGAGCCAUCCGCCCGCCGUGAGGAGGCAGCCAAUACUGAAGAGAAUGCAGAAAAAAGGGCCGAAUCUGGGAUUCUUUCUCUCAACAGUUACUAUCUUGGGUAUGGUAAUGAUUUGAGGAAUUUUGGGCACUUUAUAAAUGCGGAAGAUUUUUCGACGACCCAUCAGGAUUGAGAGCACUCUCCACUCCGUUGGAGCAACUGCUUUGGAAGCCAAGCGGGUGGCAAAUGAUUCAGACCAAGAAGUAUCCAAGCCAGGAGAAUCAGACUCUGGCAAGAGUGAAGCUGAUUCCUCAGGAGAGAAAAGGGAAGCUACACCAAGCACAUGAUUUCCAAGUUGUGUUUUUUUUUUUUUUUUGGGUUGGUUUACAUUACUGAUGCCUGCUUCAUGGUUGAAGCCAGUGGUUUUUCCAGCAUUAGUUACUGCGUGUGUUUGAUCUAACUAUGUGAAGCUAUUCUGCUAGAUCAGUAGAUCAUGCUUAUAGACUGACAGAUGCUUAUGUAUGUGAACCAUGGAUUUUGUCAUUUCUUCUUCUUCAUAUCUUUAGAUUGAUGGAUAUUUGUCUACCUCUUGAAUGAUCAUGUUAUCUGUUAAAGCCUUGUUAAAAAAAGCAUAACGAAACUGAAAGAAAGUAUAACGAUCAACUCCAAUCACAUUGACAAGGCGUGAGUGAUGAUAUUUGGUUGGUUACAGGGAAGUUGAAAAGUUCAAUCAAACUGUCAAGCUGGUAAGUGUUCCUGCAUUGGCUAGCAGCUAAUAGAUGCUUGAGAAGAAAUAGCAGCAAGAUGAGAUCAUAUCAAGCUCUUGGAUGAUGAAAACGACGUCAUAUGAAUGAGAUAUCUCUAGUAAUUGUGUAAUUUCGUAGACGAUUAGUAGGACAUUCAACUUUAAAAUGAGAAUGAUUUAGUGCUGGUACAACAUAACAACCAAAAAGCUAGAUCGAGGGAUACACCGAAGAACUCGGAAGAAAAAUGUCUGAUACUUGAUUAUGUUGCGUGUCAAAAUCUCUGUAUAAUUUUUUUUUUCUUCACUUAAUCGUGUCCUCUUCCUUACCACCAAAUAUCUAGCAAGGUCAUCUUCUCUCUCUCUCUCUGCGAAGCAAAGAAGCAGACCUUCACUCUCUACUUCUCUCUCCCUCUCUCACUAACACUGUUUAUGCGGAGCAAAGAAAGAAAGCCACGCCAGAACUGAGAGUUGCGACUGGUGUUGGGGGCAAUACGGUAGAAGAGACCAGCAAGCAGCGGCAAAAUCGGAAUGGAAAUAACAAAAACAAUUUUCAAAAGUGCUGCCUUUCUCAAAGAAAGAGAUUUCAGACACAACAAUGAUAGAAGAUCUCUCCUAUAACAAACAUGUGAAAAAAGAUCUCAAAGUUCCCAAGUCCAGCACCUUUGUGU